rnacentral:snRNA from 1 species
GAAUGUGAGGGUGACCCUGCUGUGAAUUCAGCACCCCAAGAUUGCCAGCGUUGAUUCGACUGAUCUGGCCGGAUAGGGGGAGUCCCCUCCCUCCCUCACACUCUUGUGCGUCCCUCAAAAGCUGCGUGCUGGGUCAAAGAGGACGGCCUUCCCCGAAUAGAGAUGGACCAGUCUUCCUUUGAGGGUGUCCCAGUAUCUGCGCUCCCUGCUAUCCAAACAAGCUCUCAAGGUCCAAGAUACUGCAGAGAAGAUGAAUUCACCGUUCUUAAUAGCUGAGUAGUAUUCCACUGUGUAU